GAGAGACAUUCUUUGGAUCACAGUGUUAGUUCCACCCCCUCCCUUAAUACAGUGAGUUGCCAUGGUACCCAUUAACACUCAUGGGGAAAAAAAUCUGUGUUUGAAAGCUUCAGCUGUGGCUGACUGUAACUACUGACAAGUCACCAAAGUCAUCUCUGCCUAUUUCCUGUGAGCUUUGCCUAUUUCCAUAGAGCUGAUCCCUUCAUGCCUGUGCAGCAGCAUUUCCUCUGUGGGACAUUCAACUAAACUGUUAUCAUGAGACAGACAGGAAAUAGGACUUUCAUCCAAAUAGAAGAAUACAAAAACAGGUAAAGA